GAUGAACGCUGGCGGCGUGCCUAAUACAUGCAAGUCGAGCGAACGGACGAGAAGCUUGCUUCUCUGAUGUUAUCGGCGGACGGGUGAGUAACACGUGGAUAACCUACCUAUAAGACUGGGAUAAAUUCGGGAAACCGGAGCUAAUACCGGAUAAUAUUUUGAACCGCAUGGUUCAAAAGUGAAAGACGGUCUUGCUGUCACUUAUAGAUGGAUCCGCGCUGCAUUAGCUAGUUGGUAAGGUAACGGCUUACCAAGGCAACGAUGCAUAGCCGACCCGAGAGGGUGAUCGGCCACACUGGAACUGAGACACGGUCCAGACUCCUACGGGAGGCAGCAGUAGGGAAUCUUCCGCAAUGGGCGAAAGCCUGACGGAGCAACGCCGCGUGAGUGAUGAAGGUCUUCGGAUCGUAAAACUCUGUUAUUAGGGAAGAACAUAUGUGUAAGUAACUGCGCACAUCUUGACGGUACCUAAUCAGAAAGCCACGGCUAACUACGUG
rnacentral:rRNA from 1 species